UACGUAGGGUGCAAGCGUUAAUCGGAAUUACUGGGCGUAAAGCGUGCGCAGGCGGUUGUGCAAGACAGAUGUGAAAUCCCCGGGCUUAACCUGGGAACUGCAUUUGUGACUGCACGGCUAGAGUGUGUCAGAGGGGGGUAGAAUUCCACGUGUAGCAGUGAAAUGCGUAGAUAUGUGGGGGAAUACCGAUGGCGAAGGCAGCCCCCUGGGAUAACACUGACGCUCAUGCACGAAAGCGUGGGGAGCAAACAGG
rnacentral:rRNA from 1 species